UGCGAGUCAUAUGUUCUUCGUGAACAUGGCGUACUGCUCAGUAACACGUGGAUAACCUGCCCUUGGGUCUGGGAUAACCCCGGGAAACUGGGGAUAAUACCGGAUAACGCAUAUGUGCUGGAAUGCUUUAUGCGUAAAAUGGAUUCGUCUGCCCAAGGAUGGGUCUGCGGCCUAUCAGGUAGUAGUGGGUGUAAUGUACCUACUAGCCUACAACGGGUACGGGUUGUGAGAGCAAGAGCCCGGAGAUGGAUUCUGAGACAUGAAUCCAGGCCCUACGGGGCGCAGCAGGCGCGAAAACUUUACAAUGCGGGAAACCGUGAUAAGGGGACACCGAGUGCCAGCAUCAUAUGUUGGCUGUCCAGAUGUGUAAAAUACAUCUGUUAGCAAGGGCCGGGCAAGACCGGUGCCAGCCGCCGCGGUAACACCGGCGGCCCGAGUGGUGAUCGUGAUUAUUGGGUCUAAAGGGUCCGUAGCCGGUUUGGUCAGUCCUCCGGGAAAUCUGACGGCUCAACCGUUAGGCUUUCGGUGGAUACUGCCAGACUUGGAACCGGGAGAGGUAAGAGGUACUACAGGGGUAGGAGUGAAAUCUUGUAAUCCCUGUGAGACCACCUGUGGCGA
rnacentral:rRNA from 1 species